rnacentral:piRNA from 1 species
UGCAUCUCCGAACACCAUGGAGGUGGUU